UACAGAGGUCUCAAGCGUUGUUCGGAUUCAUUGGGCGUAAAGGGUGCGUAGGUGGCGCCGUAAGUCGGGUGUGAAAUUUCGGAGCUUAACUCCGAAACUGCAUUCGAUACUGCGGUGCUUGAGGACUGGAGAGGAGACUGGAAUUCAUGGUGUAGCAGUGAAAUGCGUAGAGAUCAUGAGGAAGACCAGUGGCGAAGGCGGGUCUCUGGGACGGUACUGACGCUGAGACGCGAAAGCGUGGGGAGCGAACAGG
rnacentral:rRNA from 1 species